GGGGGCGCAAGGUUUUGACGGCGACGGAAUUGUCGAGGUGGCGCGCUGGGGCAUGCUUAGUUGCCUCGUAAAAAAUACUGAGCAACUUUUAACUGCCAACACUGAAUUGGCUCUAGCCGCGUAAGCGGCAGACUGCAUAGGCGACGCCCGCUGACUCUUGCAGUCCUCAUAGCGGGCUGGCUUUCGGUUAUGUACCGGGGAUCGGGAGCGAGGAGAACACUCGGACUAGCGGAAAGGGAAGCCUGUCCAUGGGCCAUCUUUUUGCGAAAUUAAUACACGGACUACGCGCGUAGAAACCCGAUGAAACAGUUGUUCGGACGUGGGUUCGAUUCCCACCGCCUCCAA
rnacentral:tmRNA from 2 species